UACGUAGGGUGCAAGCGUUGUCCGGAAUUAUUGGGCGUAAAGGGCUCGUAGGCGGUCUGUCACGUCGGGUGUGAAAACUCAGGGCUUAACCCUGAGCCUGCUUCCGAUACGGGCUGACUAGAGGUAUGCAGGGGAGAACGGAAUUCCUGGUGUAGCGGUGAAAUGCGCAGAUAUCAGGAAGAACACCUAUGGCGAAGGCAGCACUCUGGGACGGUACUGACGCUGAGACGCGAAAGCGUGGGGAGCGAACAGG
rnacentral:rRNA from 1 species